UCGGUCGAUGCUGGCUCAGGAUGAACGCUGGCGGCGUGCUUAACACAUGCAGUCGAACGGGAUCCAUCAUGCUUUGCUUGGUGGUGAGAGUGGCGAACGGGUGAGUAAUGCGUGACCGACCUGCCCCAUACACCGGAAUAGCUCCUGGAAACGGGUGGUAAUGCCGGAUGCUCCAGUUGAUCGCAUGGUCUUCUGGGAAAGCUUUCGCGGUAUGGGAUGGGGUCGCGUCCUAUCAGCUUGACGGCGGGGUAACGGCCCACCGUGGCUUCGACGGGUAGCCGGCCUGAGAGGGCGACCGGCCACAUUGGGACUGAGAUACGGCCCAGACUCCUACGGGAGGCAGCAGUGGGGAAUAUUGCACAAUGGGCGCAAGCCUGAUGCAGCGACGCCGCGUGAGGGAUGGAGGCCUUCGGGUUGUAAACCUCUUUUAUCGGGGAGCAAGCGAGAGUGAGUUUACCCGUUGAAUAAGCACCGGCUAACUACGUGCCAGCAGCCGCGGUAAUACGUAGGGUGCAAGCGUUAUCCGGAAUUAUUGGGCGUAAAGGGCUCGUAGGCGGUUCGUCGCGUCCGGUGUGAAAGUCCAUCGCUUAACGGUGGAUCCGCGCCGGGUACGGGCGGGCUUGAGUGCGGUAGGGGAGACUGGAAUUCCCGGUGUAACGGUGGAAUGUGUACAUAUCGGGAAGAACACCAAUGGCGAAGGCAGGUCUCUGGGCCGUUACUGACGCUGAGGAGCGAAAGCGUGGGGAGCGAACAGGAUUAGAUACCCUGGUAGUCCACGCCGUAAACGGUGGAUGCUGGAUGUGGGGCCCGUUCCACGGGUAUCGUGUCGGAGCUAACGCGUUAAGCAUCCCGGCUGGGGAGUACGGCCGCAAGGCUAAAACUCAAAGAAAUUGGAGGUGGGCCGGCCAAGCG
rnacentral:rRNA from 1 species